rnacentral:misc_RNA from 1 species
AAGGGCUUACGACGAGUAGACUUGCAGGUUGGAAGGCUAAGCUUCAACAUUUGGCUGGGCGUGAAACCCUUAUUAAAUCUACCACUUCAGCUAUUCCAAUGUAUACAAUGCAGACUGCAUGGCUGCCACAAAAAAUCUGUGAUGAGUUGGAUAAACUUAAUAGAUACUUUCAAUGAGGGUCUUCGGAUGACAAGAGGAAGGUCCAUUUGGUGAAUUGGCAACAAGUCACACAGACAAAAGAAAGGGAUGGUCUCGGG